CUGAAGCCAAUUAAGCUAACUGGGUUCCUAUCCUCAUGGGGGCCCAGUGUGUAAUAGCUGCAGACAGUAGUGUAGUAACCUGUUGCUUAUAUAGGUGGCCCUAAGGGACCUGGGAGAGAGUU
rnacentral:snoRNA from 1 species